AUGGAGGAGGACCGCCUACUCAUUUGGUGCCAGCAUCGUUUGCAUCAGAUAAAUCACAACAAAGAUAUGGUGACCCAAGACCCACGGUUAUAUAAGGAGGUGUAUGAAGAAACGACAGCAUAGAGGACCCAGCACAUCCCCUCACAGAUUCCAUGCCUUUCAAAAUAUUAGAACAAGAUUUCAAGGCAUUUUCC